GCCGGGUGUGGUGGCGGGCACCUGUAGUCCCAGCUACUCAGGAGGCUGAGGCAGGAGAAUCGCUUGAACCCAGGAAGCAGAAGUUGCAGUGAGCCGAGAUCGCACCACUGCACUCCAGCCUGGGUGACAGAGCGAGACUCUGUCUCAA
ensembl:misc_RNA Metazoa_SRP Metazoan signal recognition particle RNA